rnacentral:rRNA from 1 species
CUAAAAUUCUAGCCAGUUAACCCUAACUACCAAAAAACAAAACAAACCAUUUAAUCUAAUAGUAUGGGCGAUAGAAAUUUAUUAUGCGCAAUAAAAAAGUACCGCAGGGGAAAGAUGAAAUAAAAAUGAAAUAAAUAAUAAAACAAAGAAAAGAAAAGACUAAACCCUAUACCUUUUGCAUAAUGGUCUAGUAAGUCCAACCUAACAAAAAGAAAUAAAGUUAGCCACCCCGAAACUAGACGAGCUACUCAAAAGCAGCAUUAACCAGGGCCAACCCGUCUCUGUGGCAAAAGAGUGGGACGACUUUUAAGUAGAGGUGAAAAGCCUAACGAGCCUAGUGAUAGCUGGUUGCUUGAGAAAUGAAUAUUAGUUCAGCUUAAAGUACUUUCAACUAAUGAAAAAAUAAAAAUAGCACUUUAAAGUUAAUUAAUAGGGGUACAGCCCUAUUAAUAAAGGACACAACCUACAUAAUGAAUAAAGAUUAUAUUAACAAAAGAAACUAACCAUGUAGGCCUAAAAGCAGCCACCAUAAGAAAGCGUCAAAGCUCAACUUAACUAAUCCCCUUAUUAUACCAAUAAAAAAAUCUAAAUUCACAAAUAUAUCAAGCCUAUCUACUAGUAGAUGAGUUUAUACUAGAAUGAGUAACAAGAACAAAUUCUAUACAUGCAAGCGUAAAUCAGGGCGAAAAAAUCACUGAUAAUUAACAAUUUUAAAUACUAAACAACAAGAAAGGCACAUUAAAGUAAUUGUUAACCCAACACAGGAGCAUCAAAAAAGAUUUAAAGAUUAAAAAGGAACUCGGCAACCAAGAGCUCCGCCUGUUUACCAAAAACAUCGCCUCUUGCCCUCCAAGUAUAAGAGGUCCCGCCUGCCCAGUGAUUAAUUUUAACGGCCGCGGUAUCAUGACCGUGCAAAGGUAGCGUAAUCACUUGUCUUUUAAAUAAAGACCUGUAUGAAAGGCAAAACGAAAGCUCAACUGUCUCUUUAAUCUAAUCAGUGAAAUUAAUCUCUCCGUGCAGAA